GAUGAACGCUGGCGGCGUGCUUAACACAUGCAAGUCGAACGAAGCACCUUGAUUCGAUUCUUCGGAUGAAGAUCUUGGUGACUGAGUGGCGGACGGGUGAGUAACGCGUGGGUAACCUGCCUCAUACAGGGGGAUAACAGUUAGAAAUGACUGCUAAUACCGCAUAAGACAACAGCACCGCAUGGUGCAGGGGUAAAAACUCCGGUGGUAUGAGAUGGACCUGCGUCUGAUUAGGUAGUUGGUGGGGUAACGGCCUACCAAGCCGACGAUCAGUAGCCGACCUGAGAGGGUGACCGGCCACAUUGGGACUGAGACACGGCCCAAACUCCUACGGGAGGCAGCAGUGGGGAAUAUUGCACAAUGGGGGAAACCCUGAUGCAGCGACGCCGCGUGAGCGAUGAAGUAUUUCGGUAUGUAAACUUCUAUCAGCAGGGAAGAAAAUGACGGUACCUGACUAAGAAGCCCCGGCUAACUACGUGCCAGCAGCCGCCGUAA
rnacentral:rRNA from 1 species